UGGGUUGUGGCUCAGUGGUACAGCACCCGCCUUGCAAGUGAGAGGUCCUGGGUUUGAUCCACAGCACUACAU
rnacentral:tRNA from 1 species